rnacentral:rRNA from 1 species
GUGAGUAACACGUGGGUGAUCUGCCUUGCACUCUGGGAUAAGCCUGGGAAACUGGGUCUAAUACCGGAUACGACCUGCGAUUGCAUGAUCGUGGGUGGAAAGAUUUAUCGGUGCAAGAUGAGCCCGCGGCCUAUCAGCUUGUUGGUGGGGUAAUGGCCUACCAAGGCGACGACGGGUAGCCGGCCUGAGAGGGCGACCGGCCACACUGGGACUGAGACACGGCCCAGACUCCUACGGGAGGCAGCAGUGGGGAAUAUUGCACAAUGGGCGGAAGCCUGAUGCAGCGACGCCGCGUGAGGGAUGACGGCCUUCGGGUUGUAAACCUCUUUCGACUCCGACGAAGCGAAAGUGACGGUAGGAGUAUAAGAAGCACCGGCCAACUACGUGCCAGCAGCCGCGGUAAUACGUAGGGUGCGAGCGUUGUCCGGAAUUACUGGGCGUAAAGAGCUUGUAGGCGGUCUGUCGCGUCUUCUGUGAAAACUUGGGGCUCAACCUUAAGCUUGCAGGCGAUACGGGCAGACUAGAGUACUUCAGGGGAGACUGGAAUUCCUGGUGUAGCGGUGAAAUGCGCAGAUAUCAGGAGGAACACCGGUGGCGAAGGCGGGUCUCUGGGAAGUAACUGACGCUGAGAAGCGAAAGCAUGGGUAGCGAACAGGAUUAGAUACCCUGGUAGUCCAUGCCGUAAACGGUG